GACGUAGGGCGCGAGCGUUGUCCGGAUUUAUUGGGCGUAAAGAGCUCGUAGGCGGCUUGUUGCGUCGUUCGUGAAAUCCCGUGGCUCAACUGCGGGCUUGCGGACGAUACGGGCAGGCUAGAAUUCGGUAGGGGAGACUGGAAUUCCUGGUGUAGCGGUGAAAUGCGCAGAUAUCAGGAGGAACACCGGUGGCGAAGGCGGGUCUCUGGGCCACUACUGACGCUGAGAAGCGAAAGCAUGGGGGAGCGAACAGG
rnacentral:rRNA from 1 species